AUUGAACGCUGGCGGCAGGCCUAACACAUGCAAGUCGAGCGGUAGCACAGAGAGCUUGCUCUCGGGUGACGAGCGGCGGACGGGUGAGUAAUGUCUGGGAAACUGCCUGAUGGAGGGGGAUAACUACUGGAAACGGUAGCUAAUACCGCAUAACGUCGCAAGACCAACGAGGGGGACCUUCGGGCCUCUUGCCAUCAGAUGGGCCCAGAUGGGAUUAGCUAGUAGGUGGGGUAACGGCUCACCUAGGCGACGAUUCCUAGCUGGUCUGAGAGGAUGACCAGCCACACUGGAACUGAGACACGGUCCAGACUCCUACGGGAGGCAGCAGUGGGGAAUAUUGCACAAUGGGCGCAAGCCUGAUGCAGCCAUGCCGCGUGUAUGAAGAAGGCCUUCGGGUUGUAAAGUACUUUCAGCGAGGAGGAAGGCAUUGUGGUUAAUAACCACGGUGAUUGACGUUACUCGCAGAAGAAGCACCGGCUAACUCCGUGCCAGCAGCCGCCGUAA
rnacentral:rRNA from 1 species